rnacentral:rRNA from 1 species
UACGUAGGGCGCAAGCGUUGUCCGGAAUUAUUGGGCGUAAAGAGCUCGUAGGCGGUCUGUUGCGUCCGCUGUGAAAACUCGGGGCUUAACCCCGAGCCUGCAGUGGAUACGGGCAGACUAGAGGUAGGUAGGGGAGAAUGGAAUUCCCGGUGUAGCGGUGAAAUGCGCAGAUAUCGGGAGGAACACCGGUGGCGAAGGCGGGUCUCUAGGCCGAUACUGACGCUGAGGAGCGAAAGCGUGGGGAGCGAACAGG